rnacentral:lncRNA from 9 species
UGAAUGGAGAGAUGAAGCAGGAGCUGGUCCUGAAGGGCCUUGUGGGAUCUAUUUUAAGUGCCAAAGGAAGGUCUGAGCUAGAGUUUGAAAGGAUGCUUGUAGCUGCUGGAAGGGAAAUGCACUAAGGGAGCAGGACUGGAAGCAAGGAGCCCAGUUAGCAGGAUGUUGUGGUCCGGGUGAGAGACCGUGGUAGUUGGGACUAGGGUACUGGCAGCUGGUUUAAGGAGAGGUUGAUAGACACAUUGUGAGCCAUAAGGAAGCGUUAAGAUGGUCAGUGGAUGAUCCUAGGAGAUCAGACCCGGAGCAGUGAGACGGAGAUGUGGAGACCGACCCCUAAGAUGCUGACUUAAAUCAUGCGAGGUGGGGGAGUUCCUGUUGUGGCGCAGCAGAAGCGAAUCCAACUAGGAUCCAUGAGGAUUCGGGUUUGAUCCCUGGCCUUGCUCAGUGGGUUAAGGAUCCAGCAUUGCUGUGAGCUAUGGUGUAGGUCACAGACGCGGCUCAGAUCUGGUGUUUCUGUGGCUGUGGUGUAGGCUGACAGCUGUAGCUCCAAUCUGACCCCUAGCCUGGGAACUUCCAUAUGCCGUGGUGCAGCCGCUAAAUAUGUGUGUGUAUAUAUAUAAAGUCAUGCGAGGAGGAUCCAACUGGGAGGGGAGUUCAGAAGGAAAAACAAGAUUCAUUUCUUAGACUUGUCAAUUGUGAGCCACCUGUGGAACAACCAGACAGAGUGGCAAGAUGUUCGAGGCUGGAGCUCAGACACAGCGUCUGGUGUGGAGACACGCAUUUGGAAAUACGCAGCAAAGAGAUAAUAUUUGAAGCCGGAGGAGACAAGGGGCUGACUAUUGAGUCUGGAAUCACCAAGAACAGUGUCCCUAGCUUGCUCAGAAGAUCGGAGAGAAAGCCCAUCUCAUGAAAUUUCAGAAUGCCAGAAAUAAAGACAGAACUCUCCAAAACAGAGAAAGCAAAAAUGAGAGAGACAGAGAAGCAGAGAGAGGGAACCAGAUCACACACAAAGGAGUGAUGAGCCUGUUAGCAUCCUCUCUCUCUCAUUGGCAACAAUAGACCUUAGAAGACGAUGGAACGCCGGAGAGUUCCAAGAGAAAUUUAAUUUUUGAGCCCGGCGCUCCCUACCAAGCCCAACUAGCAUUCAGAUGAAAAGCGCAAAAUAAAGACAUUUUCAGUCACUCAAAGAUUCUGCAAGUUUAUACUAAUAGACCUCUCUGAACCAUUGCCAGCAAGUCAGAAAAUGCAUCCAGGAG